rnacentral:rRNA from 1 species
AGUGGCGCACGGGUGAGUAACACGUGGAUCAUCUACCUUCUAGUGGGGAAUACCUCUGGGAAAUCGGAGACAAUACCGCAUAAGCGAAAGGAAAGCAGCGCUGGAAGAGGAGUCCGCGGCCGAUUAGCUAGAUGGCGGGGUAAUGGCCCACCAUGGCGACGAUCGGUAGCCGGCCUGAGAGGGCACACGGCCACACUGGCACUGAAACACGGGCCAGACUCCUACGGGAGGCAGCAGUGGGGAAUCUUGCACAAUGGAGGAAACUCUGAUGCAGCGACGCCGCGUGAGCGAUGAAGCCCUUCGGGGUGUAAAGCUCUUUCGACGGGGACGAUUGACGGUACCCGGAGAAGAAGCUGCGGCUAACUACGUGCCAGCAGCCGCGGUAAUACGUAGGCAGCAAGCGUUGUUCGGAAUUACUGGGCGUAAAGAGUGCGUAGGCGGUGCUCCAAGUCUGUUGUGAAAUCUCCCGGCUUAACUGGGAGGGUGCGGCGGAAAC